CUACCGAUAACCGUUUGAGAGAAGGGAUGACACAGUAGGAUAAGCUAAGCACACUGUUGGUUAUGUGUGCCCAAGCAUUGAGGCAGUCAAAGUAGGCAAAUCCGCUUUGAUAAUACUGGGAUGUGAUGGGGAGCGAAAUUUAGUAGCGAAGUAGCUGAUUUCACACUGUCAAGAAAAGUCUCUAUCGAGGUUAAAGGUACCCGUACCGCAAACCGACACAG
rnacentral:rRNA from 1 species